rnacentral:lncRNA from 1 species
GGUCUAGCACCUGUUUCUCCUUUAUUUCUAAACCAAGAGACGAUUGUGCCAUUUGUUGCAUAACCACACCCCCAUCCACAGAGUCCAAGAGAUGAACUCUAAGGUUAGUUAAACAAUGAAUAUCCUUCACUAAUUCCCGCUUAUCCUUAUCCACAUGUGACAAGCUAACCAUGGACAACCUACUAAGAGUAUUAACAACCACAUUAGCUUUACCUGGAUGGUAGUGAAGACUCAUAUCAUAGUCCUU